rnacentral:rRNA from 1 species
UACGGGGGGGGGCAAGCGUUGUUCGGAAUUACUGGGCGUAAAGGGCUCGUAGGCGGCCAACUAAGUCAGACGUGAAAUCCCUCGGCUUAACCGGGGGAACUGCGUCUGAUACUGGAUGGCUGGAGUUUGGGGAGAGGGAUGCGGAAUUCCAGGUGUAGCGGUGAAAUGCGUAGAUAUCUGGAGGAACACCGGGUGGCGAAGGCGGCGAUCCCUGGACCAACACUGACGCUGAGGAGCGAAGCCAGGGGAGCAAACGGG